GAUGAACGCUGGCGGCGUGCCUAAUACAUGCAAGUCGAGCGAACAGAUGAGGAGCUGGCUCCUCUGACGUUAGCGGCGGACGUGUGAGUAACACGGGGAUAACCUACCGAUAAGGCGGGGAUAAAUUCGGGAAGCCGGAUCUAAUACCGGAUAAUAAAUUGAACCACAUGGUUCGAUAAUGAGAUACGGUUUUGCUGUCACUUAUAGAUGGAUCCGCGCCGCAUUAGCUAGUUGGGAAGGUAACGGCUUACCAAGGCAACGAUGAGUAGCCGACCUGAGAGGGUGAUCGCCAACACUGGACCUGAGACACGGUCAAGACUCCUACGGGAGGAAGCAGUAGGGAAUCUUCAGCAAUGGGCGAAAGCCUGCCGGAGCAACGCCGCGUGAGUGAUGAAGGUCUCCGGAUCGUAAACCCCUGUUAUUAGGGAAGAACAAAUGUGUAAGUAAAUAUGCACGUCUUGACGGUACCUAAUCAGAAAGCCACGGCUAACUACGUG
rnacentral:rRNA from 1 species